UCCCUGAGACCCUAGCUUGUGAUAGUGUAAAGAUCACAUGCUAGACUCUCAGGCCUU
rnacentral:pre_miRNA from 1 species